UCAGAACGAACGCUGGCGGCGCGUCUUAAGCAUGCAAGUCGAACGGCAAGAGGUAGCAAUACCUCCUAGAGUGGCGGACUGGUGAGUAACACGUGGGUGACAUACCCUUCAGAUGGGGAUAGCUAUUAGAAAUAGUAGAUAAUACCGAAUACGAGCACAGGGGUUAGAGAUCUGUGAGGAAAGGAGCUAAGGCUCCGCUGAAGGAAUGGCCUGCGGCCCAUUAGCUAGUUGGUGAGGUAAGAGCCCACCAAGGCGAUGAUGGGUAUCCGGCCUUAGAGGGUGAACGGACACAUUGGGACUGAGAUACGGCCCAGACUCCUACGGGAGGCAGCAGCUAAGAAUAUUCCGCAAUGGACGAAAGUCUGACGGAGCGACGCCGCGUGGAUGAAGAAGGCCGGAAGGUUGUAAAAUCCUUUUGAAACUGAAGAAUAAGCGUUGUAGGGAAUGACAGCGUGGUGACAGUAGGUUUUGAAUAAGCAACGGCUAAUUACGUGCCAGCCGCAGC
rnacentral:rRNA from 1 species